ensembl:snRNA U2 U2 spliceosomal RNA
AUCGCUUCUCGGCCUUUUGGCUAAGAUCAAGUGUAGUAUCUGUUCUUAUCAGUUUAAUAUCUGAUACGUCCCCUACCCGGGGACCAUAUAUUAAAUUGUUUUUUUGGAGCAGGGAGAUGGAAUAGGGGCUUGCUCCGUCCACUCCGCGCGUCGACCCAGUAUUGCAGUACUUCUGGGAACGGUGCACCCAGU